AACAUCACAAAGAACUUCAUCAGAAUACUCUCCAACAGAAAUGGAAAUCAUGCAUUGUUUACUCACCUUAAGCUCCCCACAUUCAUUCAAACAUUGAAGCUUGUAAUUGGCCUUAUGUUUCGUGCACGGAAUCCCCAAUUCUCCACCGUAUAUGUACUCACCACAUUAGCACAACUACCAUUAUCAAUUAUCAUAGAGCAAAUUCUACCCUUUAUCCCACAUCGUGUAUGAAAAAUAUUCUCUUUUUGCCUCAUGAAGCUCUUCCAUAUUAACAUUC
rnacentral:lncRNA from 1 species